AAAACUUUGCCAAAUCGUUGUAGUUGCUCCUCCGCCCAAUCAACGUUCCAGAUUGAUUUCCUACUUACACGUGUCCAUCAUCAAAUAGCCCAACAUUGAAUUAAGCUCAAUCGAGGUUCAUCCAAUCCUACAUUCCCUGGACGAGAAAAAGAUCGAGUGCUCCUCUCCUCACGCACCUUACCCUAUCAUAUGAAUCUCUCCUCUCUUUGAAAACCGUUCGGCGUUCACCACCGCCGGAAAGAUUCUCCGAUUAGGGUUCCGGCUAUCUCUGAUUAUACCGAUCGCCGUACCUUCCCGAAGCUCAAUUGCUACUAUCAGUAUUGUGAUUUCACCCUUUGCCUAGGUAACGCAAUAACGCAAUUCCUGAGCUUGAAUGUUGGAAAUUGUUUAAUUUUUUCUUUGAAUUUUUUUGGUAAAUAGUAAAUACCUUUUGUUUGAUAGGUAUUGAGCAUUGUAUAUUCUUCUUAAUUAAUUUUUUUUAAUUUUAUUGGAUUUGUUUUUCCUUUGUUUCUUUGUUGAUCUUGAAGGAUGUGUGUGAACUGUGCAUGCUUGUUGCAGGAAAUGCUUUGAAUCACUUUGGAAACUAAGAUAAAUUGUUACUUGAGAAUCAGCUGCAGGAUUUUUCAGGGAUAUUUUUCACAUGCAAGAGUUCAAGCAAAUGGUAUUUGUAGUUAUUAGUUAUAUCUGGAUUGAAUAGAUUCUGCCUUGUUUGUUCUUUCUUUCAGCUUGCAUUAUGUUAGUUUUUAGGAGUUAAGUCUAAUCAAGUUCGAGUUGGAUAGUAAAUGUUGCUUGGUGCUGUUGUGUGUGUGUGUUUGUUUGGAAAUUGGAAUCAUUAUGAUGCUUCCUUGCCCUUUUGGAGAGGGGGUUUUGAGGAUUUGAGGUGUAUGAAGUAUAAGGUAUACACAAAUGACAUGGGGCGAGGUUAUUCUAUGACUAUUCACGUAAUUAUGACUGCGGCUAAUUGAGACAAAGAGAAAAGUGACGUAAAUAUAAUUUGCUUUUUGCAAGAACCUCUACUUCACGCCAGUGGCCGUAAAAAAGGAAAGGAAGCAUGUUGACCUGCUAUCUAAGCCCAUAUCCACAUCCUACCCUCGAUACUUGCACAUUUUUUGAAAGAAAGCAGCUAGCUGUGCUAGCAUGUUAAGUAAAUGGUAGCAGAGUCUUGGAGGAAUAAAGCGAUGUUCUGUCUUCCGUUUCCUACUAUUUUUCCCUUAAGUAGUUCUGUCUUGUCCUUAUAGUGGUUAUGAGACUUGUAUCUAAAGCAAAAGGGAUUGGGGCAGGUUUAUCAUUUUAAUAUGCUUAAGAAUACCAUGUUGCAAAAAAUGAGGCACUUGAUUCUCAUCAAUGUUUGUGUUACUCAAGCCGACAUUUUCGCUUUCACUUCAUCCACUAUUACUCGCGCUAGUCCUUCUCUAUAGGGCGGAACGCUUCCCUACCGAUUCAUUUGUUGAAAUACAAAUAUUAUACAAAAUAGUACUUGGGUUUUUUAUUCCCUUCUUUAAAAAAUUGUAUUCUCACUAUUAAAAUGUGAUUCUUAUAAUGGAUUUCGAUUGCACCAUUCAAAGAAAUAAAUCAAGUUAUUCCUUGGAUACCUUCUUUCUUUUAGUUUUUCUCAACUCAUUUUUUUUUUCAAAUUAAAAGAAAAAGUAUCAACAGAUAUUAUUCAAGAAUAAAGUAUUUUGAAUCAAUUAAUGAAGUUCAUUUUUUGAAACAUUAGGAAAGAAAAUGAAUUGGAGUUUGUUUUUGAAACAUAGGAAAAAAGAUCCCCUAUCCAUUAAGUCAUGUUAUACGCUCUCAUGAAAUCCUCACAAACAUAAUAAAAUUGCAAUCAAUUUGAUAAUGAUCGGGUGACAUUACUUUACCUGCUCGAACCAAACAAAAUCUCUUAAAUUAUUAAAUAUGAAUAAAAAUAGAUUGAUUUGAUUAGAAUAUUUUGAAUGCAAGUUCUUGUUGGGAAAAAAAUUGCUUGACAUUAAUAGAAUCUUCAUGACUUUUUUGUCCACAAUUUUUUUUUACAUUAUCACGUGUAUUACUAUUAUACGUUGUAUAUUCACCCAGUUGAAACUACAUGGAAAAGAAAACUUUGCCAAAUCGUUGUAGUUGCUCCUCCGCCCAAUCAACGUUCCAGAUUGAUUUCCUACUUACACGUGUCCAUCAUCAAAUAGCCCAACAUUGAAUUAAGCUCAAUCGAGGUUCAUCCAAUCCUACAUUCCCUGGACGAGAAAAAGAUCGAGUGCUCCUCUCCUCACGCACCUUACCCUAUCAUAUGAAUCUCUCCUCUCUUUGAAAACCGUUCGGCGUUCACCACCGCCGGAAAGAUUCUCCGAUUAGGGUUCCGGCUAUCUCUGAUUAUACCGAUCGCCGUACCUUCCCGAAGCUCAAUUGCUACUAUCAGUAUUGUGAUUUCACCCUUUGCCUAGGUAACGCAAUAACGCAAUUCCUGAGCUUGAAUGUUGGAAAUUGUUUAAUUUUUUCUUUGAAUUUUUUUGGUAAAUAGUAAAU
rnacentral:lncRNA from 1 species